GGCUCAGGAUGAACGCUGGCGGCGUGCCUCAUGCAUGCAAGCCGAACGGGAACACUUUUAGUAGCAAUACUGAGGGUGUUCUAGUGGCGAUCGGGUGAGUAACACGUAGGUGACCUGCCCCGAAGAGGGGGAUAACGGUCCGAAAGGACUGCUAAUACCCCAUGUGGUUGAUGAUUCAUUUCGUCAAUUAAAGUUUCCGCAAGGAGUAUGCUUCGGGAGGGGCCUGCGGCGGAUUAGAUAGUUGGUGGGGUAAUGGCCUACCAAGUCGAUGAUCCGUAGCUAGUCUGAGAGGACGAUUAGCCACACUGGCACUGACACACGGGCCAGACUCCUACGGGAGGCAGCAGCAGGGAAUAUUGCACAAUGGGCGAAAGCCUGAUGCAGCAACGCCGCGUGAGGGAUGAAGGUCUUCGGAUUGUAAACCUCUUUUACAGGGGACGAGUAAGGACGGUACCCUGUGAAUAAGCAACGGCUAACUACGUGCCAGCAGCCGCGGUAAUACGUAGGUUGCGAGCGUUAUUCGGAUUUACUGGGCGUAAAGAGCACCGAGGUGGCUUCUUAAGUUGGAUGUAAAAUCUCCUGGCUUAACUGGGAGGCGCCAUUCAAAACUGAGGAGCUUGAGGUCAGCAGGGGAAGGUGGAAUUCCCGGUGUAGUGGUGGAAUGCGUAGAGAUCGGGAGGAACACCAGUGGCGAAAGCGACCUUCUGGGCUGCACCUGACACUCUAGUGCGAAAGCGUGGGGAGCAAACAGGAUUAGAUACCCUGGUAGUCCACGCCCUAAACGAUGGAUACUAGGUGUGGGAGGUAUUGACCCCUUCCGUGCCGAAGCCAACGCGUUAAGUAUCCCGCCUGGGGACUACGGCCGCAAAGUUAAAACU
rnacentral:rRNA from 1 species